rnacentral:rRNA from 1 species
AGAACGAACGCUGGCGGCAUGCCUAAUACAUGCAAGUCGAACGAAGGCUUCGGCCUUAGUGGCGCACGGGUGCGUAACGCGUGGGAAUCUGCCCCUUGGUUCGGAAUAACAGUUGGAAACGACUGCUAAUACCGGAUGAUGACGAAAGUCCAAAGAUUUAUCGCCAAGGGAUGAGCCCGCGUAGGAUUAGCUAGUUGGUGAGGUAAAGGCUCACCAAGGCGACGAUCCUUAGCUGGUCUGAGAGGAUGAUCAGCCACACUGGGACUGAGACACGGCCCAGACUCCUACGGGAGCAGCAGUAGGGAAUAUGGACAAUGGGCGCAAGCCUGAUCCAGCAAUGCCGCGUGAGUGAUGAAGGCCUUAGGGUUGUAAGCUCGUUUACCGAGAUGAUAAUGACUAGUAUACGGAGAAGUAACGACCCGGACUAACUCCGCGACCACGCGACGCCGAC